CCUACGGGAGGCAGCAGUGAGGAAUAUUGGUCAAUGGGCGGGAGCCUGAACCAGCCAAGCCGCGUGAGGGAAGAAGGUACAGCGUAUCGUAAACCUCUUUUGUCAGGGAACAAAGGCGGGGACUAGUCCCCGGAUGAGGGUACCUGAAGAAAAAGCAUCGGCUAACUCCGUGCCAGCAGCCGCGGUAAUACGGAGGAUGCGAGCGUUAUCCGGAUUUAUUGGGUUUAAAGGGGGCGCAGGCGGCCUGUUAAGUCAGCGGUAAAAGCCCGGGGCUCAACCCCGGCGAGCCGUUGAAACUGGCGGUCUGGAGUUGGAGAGAAGUACGCGGAAUGCGCGGUGUAGCGGUGAAAUGCUUAGAUAUCGCGCAGAACCCCGAUUGCGAAGGCAGCGUGCCGGCUCCACACUGACGCUGAGGCACGAAAGCGUGGGUAUCGAACAGGAUUAGAUACCCCAGUAGUC
rnacentral:rRNA from 1 species